UACAGAGGUCUCAAGCGUUGUUCGGAUUUACUGGGCGUAAAGGGCGCGUAGGCGGUCAGUGCAAGUCAGUUGUGAAAUCUCCGGGCUUAACUCGGAACGGUCAACUGAUACUGCUCGACUAGAGUGCGGAAGGGGCAACUGGAAUUCUUGGUGUAGCGGUGAAAUGCGUAGAUAUCAGGAGGAACACCGGUGGCGAAGGCGGGGUCCUGGGCCAGUACUGACGCUGAGGAGCGAAAGCGUGGGGAGCAAACAGGG
rnacentral:rRNA from 1 species